rnacentral:rRNA from 1 species
UACGUAGGGUGCGAGCGUUAAUCGGAAUUACUGGGCGUAAAGUGUGCGCAGGCGGCCGCGCAAGUCGAGUGUGAAAGCCCCGGGCUUAACCUGGGGGGCUGCAUACGAGACGUAUGGGCUUGAGUGCGGAAGAGGGUCGUGGAAUUCCCAGUGUAGAGGUGAAAUUCGUAGAUAUUGGGAAGAACACCGGUGGCGAAGGCGGCGACCUGGUCCGUGACUGACGCUGAGGCGCGAAAGCGUGGGGAGCAAACAGG